ACAGUGAGAUUUAUCAUAAUGAUGAUGAUGUUACUGACUUCACUGCUGAUCACAAUCAUGCUCAGACUUCAAGGAUCAGAUGCUAGUUCAUCUGUGACUCAGUCUCCUGUGUUUAAAGCUGCUGCUUUGGGGGAAACGGUCUCUCUGAGCUGUACAGCCAGUGAAGGAGUUGAUGAUGAUCUCAGCUGGUAUCUACAGAAACCUGGACAGCCUCCCAAACUGCUGUUUUACCAAAUCAGCAGCCGUGAAUCUGAUACUCCGAGUCAUUUCAGCAGCAGUGGAUCUGAGCCUGAGUUCACUCUCACAAUCAAUGGAGUUCAGGCUGCAGAUGCAGGAGAUUACUACUGUAUGGGAGCAUAUACAGGCCCAGAGUUCACACAGUGAUACAGAGUCGUACAAAAACCUCCCUCAGUUACUAUUUGCAGUGUUGCAGCUGUGAGCUUCUGAUACAGACUCUGACAUGCAUCACUGGUUCACUGAGUCCACUUUCAGAAGUGGAAACUAAAAUAUGUAUUCAUUCCUGAUCACAUCAUUAAGAAGAUUUUAAAUUAAGUAACACUGUUUAGAAUCUGCAACAUGCUUAUCUCACUACAUUUUGUAUUACUUCUAAUUUGCUGUGGAUAAUAAGGUAAUAUGAAAAUAA